rnacentral:rRNA from 1 species
GACGAACGCUGGCGGCGUGCCUAAUACAUGCAAGUCGACCUUAGUGGCUAACGGGUGAGUAACACGUGGGUAACCUGCCCAGCAGAAGGGGAUAACCUUUUGAAACAUGUGCUCAUACCGUAUACUGCUGGCUGGACCCGCGGUGCAUUCGCUAGUUGGUGAGGUAACGGCUCACCAAGGCCACGAUGCAUAGCCGACCUGAGAGGAUGAUCGGCCACAUUGGGACUGAGACACGGCCCAAACGCCUACGGGAGGCAGCAGUGGGGAAUAUUGGGCAAUGGACGAAAGUCUGACCGAGCAACGCCGCGUGAGUGAAGAAGGUUUUCGGAUCGUAAAACUCUGUUGUUAGAGAAGCGGUAUCUAACCAGAAAGCCACGGCUAACUACGUGCCAGCAGCCGCGGUAAUUC